rnacentral:lncRNA from 1 species
CGGCUCGGUCACCUACUCUGGAGGGAAAUGUUUUUCACACAUUGAGUUUAGAAAUCGCCUGAUGAAGGUACUCCUUGUAUCCGAAACGUCGCGAAUUAGUUUCUUUAAAAUAAAGAAACCUAUCUCUAUUGACCAUCUCGCCUUUUUUCUGAGUUUUUGAACAUCAUGCUAGCUUAGCAUAACUAGCCUACUACCAUGAGCGGCCAUCGAGGGUAACACUCCUGGCCGACGAUCCAGCAUGGAAGGUUCCGUACGGGUUACCGGAACCCUACCCUCCCACCGAUGAGCCAACGUGAUGUCCACCUGCCGCAGUCCCAACCCCACCGCAUGGAACGCAACUGCCCGACGGCGACGGGGAGCUACCGCCGCGGCCGGCUAGCACGUGGUGAUGGACGCCACCACGGCCUCUGGUACCGGAGCUCCGCCCGGACCUCCAGCUGCGUUCGGGCCUGGCGCGGCCGGUCGAUCAUCAGAUGCGGGCGGCCAUCUGAUGUACACGGCCCUUCCCUUGCCUCCACACACCCUACGACUACUCAUGACAACAUCCACUGGACUCCGGAGACGGCGAGAUUGAUGAUGAGGGACUGGUUGACCCAACUGGAUUUAUAG